UCAAAACACCGAGCUCUGAUUGAAGGAUAGUGGUUAGACCUCAAGGCAACUUGUUUUGAGGUCUACCCACUAUCCUUCGAUCAGAGCUCGGCA
rnacentral:pre_miRNA from 1 species